rfam:Picea glauca, whole genome shotgun sequence.
GUAACGGUGUCUUUAGACACCACCGCAUUUUCUUCGAAAUUUUGU